rnacentral:rRNA from 1 species
AGCGUCGAUCUCAGCGAUGAUGUUGAUGGGAGGAGCGUCGAUCCCAUAGAUGAUGUUGAUGUGGGGAUCGUCGAUCUCAUUGAUAAUGUUGAUGGGGGAAGCGUCGAUCUCAGCGAUGACGUUGACGAGGGGAGCGUUGAUCUCAUCAGCUAUUUUGAUUUGGGGAGUGCCGAUCACAUCAGCCGCCUCCCCGAUGCCGUCCUCGGCAGCAUCCUCUCUCUUCUCCCCAUCAAAGAAGGCGCCCGCACACAGAUCAUCUCCCGCCGGUGGCGUCCGCUCUGGCGUUCUGCUCCUCUGAACCUUGUAGUGGACUACAAGAACAUUAACUUGGUUCCAAAGAUCCUCUCUGAGCAUCGUGGCCCCGCACGCCGCUUCUCAAUCGAGGAUUGUUACGUCGAAGGCAGGCUUCGUUCUUAUACCCGGAGUAUCUAUGUAGAAGACUGUUAUGAUAAGAUCGAAGGCUGGCUUAGUUCCGCUGCCCUGGACAACCUAGAGGAGUUGGAGCUCACCCCCGAGUUCUCAUAUGGCUACCUGGGGGAGUUGUACCUGCUGCAAUCGUCCACAUACCGCUUCUCAUCCACGCUCCGCGUGGCCAAAUUCCACUGCUGCCAUUUCCCCAACUUAAUUGUGCAGCUGUCCCUGAAGUUUUCGUGCCUCAAGCAACUCACCCUGCGAAAGGUCACCAUCUCGGAGGACCCUCUCCACAGCUUGCUCUCUGGCUGCACUGCCUUUGAAAGCCUUGAGCUGAAGGAAAACAUGGGCACUGGUCGCCUCUGCAUCAUCUCCCAAACUCUUAAGAGUUUAGGCUUUUGCGCUGACUCAAGGGAUGGUGGUCUCUUUUUGCAAGAGUUAGUCAUCAAGGAUGCCCCAUGCCUUGAGAGAUUACUACCACUAAAUCCAAAGGGUGGCACAGCGAGCAUACGGAUAAUCUCGGCACCUAAACUGGAGAUAUUGGGUAUGCUGUCUGAAGACACAUAUGAAUUCCACCUUGGGAGCUCAGUUUUUCAGAAAAUGAUUGCUGUCAAUUUAACAACCAAAAUGCACACCAUGAGGGUUUUGGUUCUCAGCCCUUCCAGCCCUAAGCUGGACGCAGUGGUUAACCUCCUCAAGUGCUUCCCUUGCUUGGAGAGGUUGUAUGUCAUUUUCCAGUCAGGGGAGGGUAUGAAGAAUGUCUGGAAGUAUGACCCAUUUGACCCACUUGAAUGUAUUGAGCUUCAUCUCAAAAAAGUGGUGUUGAAGAAUUAUGACGGCAUCAGAGAUUCAUCUAUCAACUUUGCCAAGUUCUUUGUUCUUAAUGCAAAAGUGUUGAAGGAAAUGAAAAUCACAUUGCCUUACCACCGCCAGCAUGGAUGGGUUGCUAAUCAAUCCAGCCUGCUACGAGUCAGAAAUAGAGCUUCUCGAGAUGCUCGAAUUGAGAUGAGAUGUGGCACUAAAGAUGAUUUCACACACAACAAGCAUACCCAUGACGUGUUAAUGGAUGACCCCUUUGACUUGCCCUACAGAGGAUGCUAUACG